UAAUGGUUAAGCCUUUUGUUGCUCAGCAGU
rnacentral:piRNA from 1 species